AAAACAUCGCCUCCUGCAAAAAUCCACGUAUAGGAGGUCCUACCUGCCCAGUGACUUAGUUUUACGGCCGCGGUAUUUUGACCGUGCAAAGGUAGCGCAAUCACUUGUCUUUUAAAUAAAGACCUGUAUGAAUGGUGAAACGAGGGCUUAACUGUCUCCCUUUUCCAAUCAAUGAAAUUGAUCUACCCGUGCAGAAGCGGGUAUAAAUAUACAAGACGAGAAGACCCUAUGGAGCUUAAGACAUAAAGUCAUCUGUGCCAAAAACCCUUAAUUAAAAGAAUAGAGCAAAACAACUACUGACUGGCGUCUUCGGUUGGGGCGACCGCGGAGGAAAAAAAAUCCCCCAUGUGGAAUGGGACAUCCCCCUAAACCACGAGGUACACCUCUAAGUCACAGAACUUCUGACCAAACGAUCCGGUAUAGCCGAUCAACGAACCAAGUUACCCUAGGGAUAACAGCGCAAUCCUCUUCAAGAGUCCAUAUCGACAAGGGGGUUUACGACCUCGAUGUUGGAUCAGGACAUCCUAAUGGUGCAGCCGCUAUUAAGGGUUCGUUUGUUCAACGAUUAAAGUCCUACGUGAUCUG
rnacentral:rRNA from 1 species